rnacentral:rRNA from 1 species
CCUACGAGAGGCAGCAGUAGGGAAUAUUGCUCAAUGGGGGAAACCCUGAAGCAGCAACGCCGCGUGGAGGAUGACGGUUUUCGGAUUGGAAACUCCUUUUGUUAGAGAAGAUAAUGACGGUCUCUAACGAAUAAGCACCUGCUAACUCCGUGCCAGCAGCCGCGGUAAUACGGAGGGUGCAAGCGUUACCCGGAAUCACUGGGCGUAAAGAGCGCGUAGGCGGGAUAGCAAGUCAGAUGUGAAAUCCUAUGGCUUAACCAUAGAACUGCAUUUGAAACUGUUAUUCUAGAGUAUGGGAGAGGUAGGUGGAAUGCUUGGUGUAGGGGUAAAAUCCGUAGAGAUCAAGAGGAAUACUCAUUGCGAAGGCGACCUGCUAGAACAUAACUGACGCUGAUGCGCGAAAGCGUGGGGAGCAAACAGGAUUAGAUACCCUUGUAGUC